rnacentral:rRNA from 1 species
CCUACGGGAGGCUGCAGUGAGGAAUAUUGGUCAAUGGACGAGAGUCUGAACCAGCCAAGUAGCGUGAAGGAUGACUGCCCUAUGGGUUGUAAACUUCUUUUAUAUGGGAAUAAAACGUUCCACGUGUGGGAUUUUGUAUGUACCAUAUGAAUAAGGAUCGGCUAACUCCGUGCCAGCAGCCGCGGUAAUACGGAGGAUCCGAGCGUUAUCCGGAUUUAUUGGGUUUAAAGGGAGCGUAGGUGGAUUGUUAAGUCAGUUGUGAAAGUUUGCGGCUCAACCGUAAAAUUGCAGUUGAAACUGGCAGUCUUGAGUACAGUAGAGGUGGGCGGAAUUCGUGGUGUAGCGGUGAAAUGCUUAGAUAUCACGACGAACUCCGAUUGCGAAGGCAGUUCACUGGACUGCAACUGACACUGAGGCUCGAAAGUGUGGGUAUCAAACAGGAUUAGAUACCCCUGUAGUC